GACGAACGCUGGCGGCGUGCUUAACACAUGCAAGUCGAACGGACAGGCCCUGCUUUUGUGGGGUUCUCGAUUGGCGAACGGGUGAGUAACACGUGAGUAACCUGCCCUUGACUUUGGGAUAACUUCAGGAAACUGGGGCUCAUACCCCAUAUGAGCUCCUGCUGCAUGUUGGGGGUUGGAAAGUUUCGGCGGUUGGGGAUGGAAUCGCGGCUUAUCCGCUUGUUGGUGGGGUAGUGGCUUACCAAGGCUUUGAAGGCUAGCCGGCCUGAGAGGGUGACCGGCCACAUGGGGACUGAGGUACGGCCCAGAAUCGUACGGGAGGCAGCAGUGGGAAAUAUUGCACAAUGGGCGGAAGCCUGAUGCAGCAACGCCGGGUGCGGGAUGACCGCCUUCGGGGUGUAAACCGAUUUCGCCUGUGACGAAGCGUGAGUGACGGUAAUGGGUAAAGAAGCACCGGCUAACUACGUG
rnacentral:rRNA from 1 species